UACGAAGGGUGCAAGCGUUACUCGGAAUUACUGGGCGUAAAGCGUGCGUAGGUGGUUCGUUAAGUCUGAUGUGAAAGCCCUGGGCUCAACCUGGGAAUGGCAUUGGAAACUGGCGACCUAGAGUGCGGUAGAGGGUAGUGGAAUUCCCGGUGUAGCAGUGAAAUGCGUAGAGAUCGGGAGGAACACCAGUGGCGAAGGCGACUACCUGGCCUGUUCUUGACGCUGAGGCGCGAAAGCCAGGGGAGCAAACGGG
rnacentral:rRNA from 1 species